UUGGAGGGCAAGUCUGGUGCCAGCAGCCGCGGUAAUUCCAGCUCCAAUAGCGUAUAUUAAAGUUGUUGCAGUUAAAAAGCUCGUAGUUGAAUUUCGGGGUUAGUAGGUUGGUCAUGCCUCUGGUAUGUACUGGUCUCACUGAUUCCUCCUUCCUUAUGAACCGUAAUGCCAUUAAUUUGGUGUUGCGGGGAAUUUGGACUGUUACUUUGAAAAGAUUAGAGUGUUCAAAGCAAGCUAACGCUUGAAUACAUUAGCAUGGAAUAAUGAAA
rnacentral:rRNA from 1 species